rnacentral:tRNA from 1 species
GGGCGGCCGCGUCGCGACGGGCGGGGCGGCCCGGCUCGGUGCCGGGGCGCAGCGGUUCGAUCUCGCUGCCGUCGACC